UCUCUUCCACCUCAACGAGACGACAUAGAGAGGAGAGCAGGUAAUGAAUGUUGUAAAGAAGAUGUCAGGGUUUGGGGGUCAGAAACCUGAUUACAGCCCAGUGAUUCCACUUAUUUUCAACAGAUCCCUACCACAUUCCCUACCCUGACUCCUCCUGAAAGGGACUCUGGCUUCACAUUUUGUCAUAGUCUCCAGAAGAGCAGCUCCUUUCUCCUAGAUGAAAACACAUAUGGGAAAGACAAGGAAACACCAGCAUAGACCCAAAGGAAUGACAAUGACGCUACAAUUAUUCCCUAUGGUGGAAUCUGCAGCUGAGUUGCCACCCAUGAGGCCAUUGCCAGGAAGCUACCAGGCAGCUGCUGAGACCAGAU
rnacentral:lncRNA from 1 species